rnacentral:rRNA from 1 species
AUUGAACGCUGGCGGUAGGCCUAACACAUGCAAGUCGAACGCGAAAGUCCUUCGGGAUGAGUAGAGUGGCGGACGGGUGAGUAACGCGUAGGAAUCUAUCCUGUAGUGGGGGAUAACGUUUCGAAAGGAACGCUAAUACCGCAUACGCCCCAACGGGGGAAAGGCGGGGGAGUCUUCGGACCUCGUGCUAUAGGAGGAGCCUGCGUCGGAUUAGCUAGUUGGUGAGGUAAAGGCUCACCAAGGCGACGAUCCGUAGCUGGUCUGAGAGGAUGAUCAGCCACACCGGAACUGAGACACGGUCCGGACUCCUACGGGAGGCAGCAGUGGGGAAUAUUGCGCAAUGGGCGAAAGCCUGACGCAGCCAUACCGCGUGUGUGAAGAAGGCCU